rnacentral:rRNA from 1 species
UACGUAGGGUCCGAGCGUUGUCCGGAGUUACUGGGCGUAAAGCGCGCGCAGGCGGCGGUGUUGGCCCGGCGUGAAAGCCCCCGGCUCAACCGGGGAGAGUCGUCGGGGACCGCACCGCUUGAAGGCGGUAGGGGCUGGUGGAAUGCCUGGUGUAGUGGUGAAAUGCGUAGAGAUCAGGCAGAACACCUGGGGCGAAGGCGGCCAGCUGGGCCGUCCCUGGCGCUGAGGCGCGAAGGCGUGGGGAGCGAACGGG